GUUUUAAUAAUUUAAAUAAAAUAUUGAUUUUGUAAAUCAAAAAUAAGGUUUCUUUUAAAACU
rnacentral:tRNA from 1 species